AACGCUAGCUACAGGCUUAACACAUGCAAGUCGAGGGGCAGCAUGGUCUUAGCUUGCUAAGGCCGAUGGCGACCGGCGCACGGGUGAGUAACACGUAUCCAACCUGCCGUCUACUCUUGGACAGCCUUCUGAAAGGAAGAUUAAUACAAGAUGGCAUCAUGAGUCCGCAUGUUCACAUGAUUAAAGGUAUUCCGGUAGACGAUGGGGAUGCGUUCCAUUAGAUAGUAGGCGGGGUAACGGCCCACCUAGUCUUCGAUGGAUAGGGGUUCUGAGAGGAAGGUCCCCCACAUUGGAACUGAGACACGGUCCAAACUCCUACGGGAGGCAGCAGUGAGGAAUAUUGGUCAAUGGGCGCAGGCCUGAACCAGCCAAGUAGCGUGAAGGAUGACUGCCCUAUGGGUUGUAAACUUCUUUUAUAUGGGAAUAAAGUUUUCCACGUGUGGAAUUUUGUAUGUACCAUAUGAAUAAGGAUCGGCUAACUCCGUGCCAGCAGCCGCGGUAAUACGGAGGAUCCGAGCGUUAUCCGGAUUUAUUGGGUUUAAAGGGAGCGUAGGCGGACGCUUAAGUCAGUUGUGAAAGUUUGCGGCUCAACCGUAAAAUUGCAGUUGAUACUGGGUGUCUUGAGUACAGUAGAGGCAGGCGGAAUUCGUGGUGUAGCGGUGAAAUGCUUAGAUAUCACGAAGAACUCCGAUUG
rnacentral:rRNA from 1 species